AGAAAAAUAUGGCUAUAUUCAGUAUGAACCAUAUAGACAGAUAUGUACAGUGUAGUAACAGUACAAUUGUAGUGCAGAAA